rnacentral:lncRNA from 1 species
CGGCAGGAGAGAUGGCUAAUGAAAGCGAACGGCGGGGGGCAGGAUGGAGAUGCCGGGUGAUGCCUCACCCCACGAGCGCGCGAGGGUCCGAGCGGCAGGAUCACAGCCGUGGGUCCGUUUCCCUCGGCGGCGCCCGGGCCCGCCUCCAUGUUCGCUGGCCCUGGCCCUGGCCCUGGGGCGGGCGGGAGCUACUGGACCGGCGUUCUAGGCCGCCGGGCCCGGCCUCGCCUCGUCGAAUUCCCCACGGGGCUGGUGCCGCCCGCGGGCAGGAUGCGCUCAGCUUUCCCGCUCCGCGUUCCCGGGAGGCGGGCGCUGCGCCACUCG